rnacentral:tRNA from 1 species
AUUUAAGUAGUUUAUUAAAAAUAUUGAUUUGUGGUGUCAAUGAUAUGAAUUUUAUUCAUCUNAGAUC